rnacentral:sRNA from 1 species
UGGGCUGGGCUGGACCGAAACUGGCGCGGAGCAACUGAGGCCCGAGCCUUCUCGGGACCCGGGGGACGCCUAACCCCGCGAGAUGAGGAAACUGAGGCCGCGAGGAGCGCGCACACAGCAGAGAAGCAGCAGAAUCGGGAAUCAAACCCAGCUCUGUCUGACCCCAGAGCCUGUGCCCUUAACCACUGGCUAGGCUGAACUGCCUUUGUUCUUCACUGUCCCCAUCACCUCUUUCAAACCUCAGCCUCUCCUUCCUCAUCGUUACAUCUCUAGGCUGCACCUGGUCUCUAAACAUUCACACAACCCCUGCAAAUUUUCUUCCUCAUAAUUGGGAGAAGACUCACUGGCCGAAUGGCAGCAGUAGAUGACUUGCGAUUUGAAGAAUUUGGCAAUGCAGCCACUUCUCUGACAGCAAACCCAGAUGCCACCACAGUAAACAUUGAGGAUCCUGGUGAAACCCCAAAACAUCAGCCAGGAUCCCCAAGAGGCUCAGGAAGAGAAGAAGAUGAUGAGUUACUGGGAAAUGAUGACUCUGACAAAACUGAGGUACAGUGUCAGGCAAUGACAGCUCAGAGGUAAAUGACACAUGGCCUCUUCCUUGGUGGGGGAAACAGGCAAACAGACCAUUAUUUUCCUUACUUGCUGGACAGAAGAAAAGCUCCCCCUUCUGGACAUUUGAAUACUACCAAACAUUCUUUGAUGUGGACACCUACCAGGUCUUUGACAGAAUUAAAGGAUCUCUUUUGCCAAUACCCGGGAAAAACUUUGUGAGGUUAUAUAUCCGCAGCAAUCCAGAU